rnacentral:rRNA from 1 species
GGGCGUGCUAAUCUGCGAUAAGCGCCGGUAAGGUGAUAUGAACCGUUAUAACCGGCGAUACCCGAAUGGGGAAACCCAGUGUGACUCGUCACACUAUCAUUAACUGAAUCCAUAGGUUAAUGAGGCGAACCGGGGGAACUGAAACAUCUAAGUACCCCGAGGAAAAGAAAUCAACCGAGAUUCCCCCAGUAGCGGCGAGCGAACGGGGAGGAGCCCAGAGCCUGAAUCAGCAUGUGUGUUAGUGGAAGCGUCUGGAAAGGCGCGCGAUACAGGGUGACAGCCCCGUACACAAAAGCGCAUGUGCUGUGAGCUCGAUGAGUAGGGCGGGACACGUGGUAUCCUGUCUGAAUAUGGGGGGACCAUCCUCCAAGGCUAAAUACUCCUGACUGACCGAUAGUGAACCAGUACCGUGAGGGAAAGGCGAAAAGAACCCCGGCGAGGGGAGUGAAAAAGAACCUGAAACCGUGUACGUACAAGCAGUGGGAGCACCCUUUGGGUGUGACUGCGUACCUUUUGUAUAAUGGGUCAGCGACUU